rnacentral:rRNA from 1 species
UCGAACGGCAGCACAGUAAGAGCUUGCUCUUAUGGGUGGCGAGUGGCGCACGGGUGAGGAAUACAUCGGAAUCUACUUUUUCGUGGGGGAUAACGUAGGGAAACUUACGCUAAUACCGCAUACGACCUUCGGGUGAAAGCAGGGGAUCUUCGGGCCUUGCGCGAUUGAAUGAGCCGAUGUCGGAUUAGCUAGUUGGCGGGGUAAAGGCCCACCAAGGCGACGAUCCGUAGCUGGUCUGAGAGGAUGAUCAUCCUC